rnacentral:rRNA from 1 species
UACGAAGGGGGCAAGCGUUGUUCGGAAUUAUUGGGCGUAAAGAGCUCGUAGGCGGUUUGUCGCGUCGGAUGUGAAAUCCCGGGGCUUAACCCCGGGUCUGCAUUCGAUACGGGCUGACUAGAGUUCGGCAGGGGAGACUGGAAUUCCUGGUGUAGCGGUGAAAUGCGCAGAUAUCAGGAGGAACACCGGUGGCGAAGGCGGGUCUCUGGGCCGAUACUGACGCUGAGGAGCGAAAGCGUGGGGAGCGAACAGG